ACUAAGCUCAAAAGCAAAGAGUGCGAUAUAUAUUUGCAUGGAGAGCGAGCAAAUGGGAAUCCCAAUUGUAGACAUUGAACAAGCAAGCAUUUGAGUUUUAGAAGUGAUAGAAAUCAAACGAAAGAUCUUUUAGGAAAAUAUUAUAUAGUAGUAUUAAAAAAAUAUAACCAGAGAAUAUGAAAUUAUUUAAAGAAAGUAUAAAAAACAGUGACUAACAUAUAUCAGGUAUCUACUUUCGGAUUGGUGGUCUUAUAAGCAAAACAGCAAUUAAAUUAGGAUGCUAACAAAGGGAGAGCAUUACUAAAGAACUGAUUUUCUACGUCAUAUGUAGUCAACACGUUUUUUGUGCAUUUGGACUAUGCUUUGUUAUGGAUGAUUACAUUUAUUUUCUUUUGUAACAAUUUAUAUUUUUAAUUUACAAUUACUUACAAAAUUUAAAAAUUGUUUAUGCAUAAACGAAUGUUUAAACAUUUCAAAGCGACGUUCACAUUUUUCUUUAGUAUUGGUUGCUCUUGCAAAAUAAUAAGAAGAGCUAGUAGGGGACCCAGUCAACACCAACUAGUUAUAAGCCCUUUAAAAUGAAGCCUCGUAACUAUCGAACAUAUGUAAAUAUGUACAUAUAUGUACCAAGCUUUAUAUUUUAUUUUAGUAGGUGUUCCCGAAUAUUUUGUUAUGCAAUUAUGGAAAUAUACUCUCACGUUAAGUAAAAUCGAAGCCAGACACAAGCCAAAUGCAAAAUAGCACUUGAAUAAAUAUUUUUGGAUUUUUUUAAGCGCCGCUGCUGCAACAA